CUUGUCUUAUAUUUAAGUCUUUCAGCCAUUUUGAGUUUAUUUUGGUGCAUGGUGUGAGGAUGUGUUAUAGUUUCAUUGAUUUGCAUGUAGCUGUCCAUUUUCACAGCAGUUCUUGUUGAAUAGACUGUCUUUUUCCCAGUUUAUGCUGUUGCCUCCUUUGUCAAAGAUUAAUUGACCACAGGUGUCAGAAUUUAUUUCUGGGUUCUCUCUUCUGUUCCAUUGGUCUAUAUGUCUGUUUUGGUACCAGUACCAUACAUUUUUGAUGACUGUAGCUUUGUAAUAUUGUUUGUAGUAUGGAAGAGUUAUGCCUCCUGCUUGGUUUUUGUUCCCCAGGAUUGCUUUGGCGAUUCUGGGUCUUUUGUGGUUCCAUAUAAAUUUUUGGAUUAUUUGUUCUAGUUCUGUGAAAAAUGUCAUGGGAUCUUUCUUCUGCUUUGUAGAUAUGUGUUUAAAAUAUUCCAUAUAUAGGUAAAAUUAUUUAAAGUAUAUUCUUGAAGUUCCUGUUGUGGCUCAAUUCGUUAACCACUGAGCCACGACGGGAAUUCCGCCAUAUAUUUUUUAAAAGUCUUAAUGCAAAUAACUUUAGUCUGGUUUCAAAAUCAAAACCAGUCUAAAAAAAUUAUUAUUUGUCAACAUAAUUUGUCAAGCUUGCAGUUGUAUUGCAGUAUUACAGAAUGACCACCAUUUCUGGUGUCAAAAAUCUCAGUUUGAAUUUCUUUUGCUGGCUUUAUGGGCAUAGCUUAUUUAGUUAUAUGUUCUAAAGACUCAGUUUCUUUUUCUUAAAAAUUGUGAAAAUACUUUUUACUCAAAAUGCUGUGAUCAGUAUCAUAAGAUACGCGAAAAAGCUUUGUUAAUAAGAAAAUGUUAUUGAUAAUAUUAUUAUCAAAUAUUAAAGAUAAUUUAUAGGUGUAUUCAAAGAGUGGGAAGAUAUUUUAAAAUGACAUGUUAGAAUUAUGAUGAUGACUGUGUAUAGUAGGAAAAUCUCACAAUUCUAUUUUUGUACCUCUAUUUCUGCAAAUAGGAAUCUGCCAAGUUUUAUUCUUUCCUGUAAUGCUCAUAAACGUUAAACUAUUGAUAGGAUAUAUAGUCUUCUUUUAUUAAUCACCAUCUAGAAAGCUUUUAAUGCAAACCAAGUAAAAUUACUUUCACUGUGAUCCCUAGUGUGCUGUGUUGAUUUCAUACUUAUUUGGCCAGUAACAAGUCAAACUGAAAGAUGUUGCUGAAAUUUCUGAAAAUUGGGAUAAUUUAGUGGCCUGAUGUUCUGAUUUUUCAUUACAUCAUUUUAUUGUCCUCAGAGGGGCACUGUAAUAACCUAACAAACCAUCGCUGAGAUUUACUGCCAAAAGCUUUAAUGAAAAGAACCAUGCUUGUGAAAGACCCAUGAUGUGUUGAAAAGUUAACCCAGAAAGUUUUAUCUCAUAGAUUUCCUCCAGUAUUUGCUUCUGGAAGUCACCUCCUUUCUUCUUUUUCUUUUCUUUCUUUGCCCUCCAUUUUAUUCUUCUCAAUCUUGGUCCAUGGUUGCUUGUAUUCACUGUGCUAAUUUUACGCAGCUCACAGCACUCCGUUUUUGGAGGUAAAGGGAUGGGAGAUAGAGCCUAGCAGUUAAUUAAUACAUGGGCAGCUUCAUUGGUUGUUGAUAGACAAAGUAGGAACAAGGGGUCCAUAUGCCCAAGACCACUUUCUCACUACCCUUUGAAUUGAUAAUGGCCACCUCUGGACAAUAUGACACCAGAGGCAUCAUUCCCACUGUAUUCUGAGCAAGCUGAUUAUAUUGUAAUUACUUCCAAAAAUCUGAGUAUUUUAUUUCUCUUAUUUUUUCUUUUUUUAAAAAUAUGCUUUGUUUUUAUUAGUCUUAAAAAAAUACUUUUGUCAAAAACAAAUUAAUAAGUGAGUGAAAAAAAAUGAAAGUAAACCUACAGUUUGGGUUCCUGGAGCCUUUUUUCCCCCCCCCGCUUUUAUUUCUUUGCACUCUGCUAUUUGCCACCACCUCAAACUCUUUUCUACUCAGCAAGCAAGGUCACGGUUGGAAGUUGGGCUGUUAAGAAUUGGCAUAUUCUAAAUUGAUGCCCACAUAGCCACUCUGGAGAAUAUGAAGCUCUGAUAUGCCAUUGUGUGUGUAUUUCUCAGGUUUUGUGAAUUUUAAAACUCUUUGCAGGGGUUCACAUUUAUUUAUGGCCAGCAGCUUGCUUUGGACAAUUUCGAAGCGGCCAUUCUUGACAAAGAGCCUAAGACUCCAUUAUCUUUUGGCUAUGAAGCAGAGCAAAACAUUUGAUUUCUCUGUUGACUCCAAGUGUAUUUAUGAAUCCUGAAUCUGCACAAUUAUUUUCCUGACAGAAAAAAAAAUCAGAAUAUGCUUCUGUAAAGAAAAUAUGAUUGAGCACUUAUAGGUGGUAUUUCAUUCAACUCAUAGCAAUUUCAAAUAAGGACUAUAAGCUCAACUAGAAGCUCAGUAGUGUAACUAUUUCAGGAAGAUUUGUUCUCUCUGAGGAAAGUACCUUGCAUUCUUGGCUCAUGAUUUCAAAAAUAGGAAGAAUUUUGCAGGCCUUUCUUGAAUUGGUACUUUACAGUCAGAUCAAAAAUUAUGUUUAAGUAGAGUCACUUACUCUGAUUUAGAGCAUGUUAUAUAACCUUUUCAUUCCUGUGAAUUGCAGUUAAGUGACCAAGGAAAAUUUGCUUUUUAAAAGCUUCUUAAGGCUAUAAAUUAUUUCCUUUUAACUCAAUACUGCACUUAAAAUUUGCUCUGAUGCUGUGUCUUUCAGCAUAGCGGAAUUGGUCAAGCCCAAGGGACAAGUAAUUUAUAUUGCUAAACCCUAAUCAAGCUCAUGAAUUUUAGAGCCUCUGCAAAGUAUGGGCCUUCGGUGCUGGUCUUACCACUUUUGUGAGCGGGAAAGCAUGUUUCAGUGUGCAGUGGUUUGUUAAUCAGCAGCUCUGUCACUGCACUUUCUGGUCCCCAGUUGGGCCACCCACCUGUACCGCCCUUAUUUCCCCACACUAUCUGAAGUGCUCUUUUAGCCCAGAUUCAGGUGGUGGAAUUAUGUUCUGUUGUGUUCUUUGUGUAGAGAGAAUGUCCAAGUGCCAAAAAUCCAGGCACAUAGGGGGAACACACAGAAAAUAAAACAAGAAAUAGUUUGUCCACUUUGUAUUUCCAAAUGGGCCUUUGUGUGAAUCUACAGAGCUAUGCUGCAGCAUUGAAGAUAUCCAUGGUAUAAAAGAAAUAUUGACAAAUUAAGUCUGUGAGAGAGUAUCUGAAUGUUUGCCUAUCUUAUAGGGAACAACAUAAAAAUGAAGAUUUGAGGGGAUGAGUGUAGACUGGACAGGAUCUGGUUCAACCCCAAACUUUCAGUCAAAAUGUACUAAAGGAUGUUUGAUGCCUCCAGCUAUGUCAGGAACUGGAUGGAGGAGAGGAAGGAGAUCAAGAAGGAAGUUUAGAGGGAUAAAAUAUGUCCCUUUCUAUGGCCAGACUCAUAGUCUAAUGUGAUAGAAGAUUAUUAGAUUGUUAAGAAGAGAAUGUAUUUGUGACUUUGUUACUUACAGAAUAUAUUCCUUGGUGCCUGACACAGUUAUCUGUCUGUAUUUGUGAGUGAAGAAGUGCAAAUGGGCUGUGAUUAUAAUACCAGUGCAGACCCACAGCUCAGAAAAGACACCUCAGAAGAGACAGAACAUCAGGGUGGCUCUUAGUGAAGAGAGUUGGCCAGAAAAGCCAAGAGCCACUCCCCUGACCAUUCUCCAAGAUUAGGAAAGUCAGGUAUUCAAAAGAUUUACUGAACUCAUGCUAAGUGUCACAAAAUUGGGAACACAGGGUAAAUAAGUUGAAGAAGGUCUUUGUUGACAGAGGCUGAUGGUUUAUGCAGGCAGACCAGUUGAACAUUCGGUGCUGAGAGCUGUGGGGGCUCCAUUUCCAGACCGAGGUCAUUUUCCCAGCAAGGGACCUAUGAGGGUGGGAGGAGGAACUUCACCAGAGUGAAGGGUGAAAACCUUGGGACAUGGAAUUGGAGGAAUGGACAGAGGCCAAAGACAUGGAGAGCACAAACCACCAAGAAAGAAGAACCCAUUGAAAUUUAGUAGUGAAGGAUCCAUAGUGAGCAUUGAGUUAAACAUCUCCUUGCACAUACAAAGAAACAGUCUGAGAACAAUCUAGUGAAUGACUUACUGGGCCUAGAGUCCACUUAACCUCAGUCUCAGUCUCCUGUUGACACUGCCAUUGGGAGGUAAGGAAACUGUGGGGAGAAGUGGGAAAAGUUCCUGUUCUUGUCUGUGCAGUGGGCAUGUGAUGUAGAUAAGGGGUGUGCAUAGCAUAUGGUAACUUAACUUAAGUUUAAGCCCCAAGUGGCAAGUGUAGGGUAUUAGGUUCUUCUGCAGAUGUCUCUGCACUCUAGAGAAGUGGCUCCAAAAAUGCUUUGGCUUGGAACUAACAGGCUAAUAUGAUAGUGGUUAGAUUGUAGGCUUGAUGGAAAUGCCGAACCACGCCAGCUCCAUCUUUAGGGCCAGGCCCUGCACACAGCACACUCAGCUGCAUGGGGCAGCAGAGGUCCUCGGCUUUCCUGUAGCUCCACCACUAUCCCCGCCACACUUAGCCCUCAUCACAGCUCAGGCAUUGACAUCCUUUCCCACCCCACCUGUCUGGAAGUGAAAAGCUAUAGAUAUCAAUAGCUCCACAACCCAUUUCGAAUGUUGAAAAUUCCCUGAUUGGCAUUUAUAUAUUGACUGUUGUGUUAAAAAAUACUUGGGGAACCUUCUGGCAUCUUGCCAAAAUAACUGCAUUCAUGAAGAAUUAGAAAGUCCAGGAAUGCACAAAGCUCCAAAUAGUGAUAUCUUCUAAUAUUUUCACAUUGAGUAUCAAAAGAACGUGCUCUAAAUGUUUUGAGAUCAUAUUUACCAUGCUCUUUGACUUAUUUGUAUAAACAUUUUGAAGAAAUGCAGAAUUUAAAAGUGAGCUUUUGUGUAUAUGUGUAUUUGUGCAUGUGCAUAUUUUGUAGAGAUGGCUAAUGACAAAUGGAUCCAAUAUUAAUUGCAUUUUCCCAUAAGAGGAAAAUAUUGAGAAGCUCUGUGCUCUGGAAAGAGGAUAGUAUGCAUGUAGCAUAGAGUGACGCACGACAUACUGUGUGAAAUGAUUUUAUCAAGGUUGUUGUUGUCGUUGAAGAUUCAGCUAACAGAUUUUUCAAAGUUCAUCUAAUCAUUUUCAAGGAACAAAGUGAAUUUAUGGAAAUUUAAAUUAGAUUUCAGGUCAGUGCUUAUUAAUGCCAUCAAAAUAAUUUACAGCCAGUGUGUUACAUGGAUGGACCAGAGGAGAAAAAAAAA
rnacentral:lncRNA from 1 species